GAUGAACGCUGGCGGCGUGCCUAAUACAUGCAAGUCGAGCGAACGGACGAGAAGCUUGCUUCUCUGAUGUUAGCGGCGGACGGGUGAGUAACACGUGGAUAACCUACCUAUAAGACUGGGAUAACUUCGGGAAACCGGAGCUAAUACCGGAUAAUAUUUUGAACCGCAUGGUUCAAAAGUGAAAGACGGUCUUGCUGUCACUUAUAGAUGGAUCCGCGCUGCAUUAGCUAGUUGGUAAGGUAACGGCUUACCAAGGCAACGAUGCAUAGCCGACCUGAGAGGGUGAUCGGCCACACUGGAACUGAGACACGGUCCAGACUCCUACGGGAGGCAGCAGUAGGGAAUCUUCCGCAAUGGGCGAAAGCCUGACGGAGCAACGCCGCGUGAGUGAUGAAGGUCUUCGGAUCGUAAAACUCUGUUAUUAGGGAAGAACAUAUGUGUAAGUAACUGUGCACAUCUUGACGGUACCUAAUCAGAAAGCCACGGCUAACUACGUGCCAGCAGCCGCGGUAAUACGUAGGUGGCAAGCGUUAUCCGGAAUUAUUGGGCGUAAAGCGCGCGUAGGCGGUUUUUUAAGUCUGAUGUGAAAGCCCACGGCUCAACCGUGGAGGGUCAUUGGAAACUGGAAAACUUGAGUGCAGAAGAGGAAAGUGGAAUUCCAUGUGUAGCGGUGAAAUGCGCAGAGAUAUGGAGGAACACCAGUGGCGAAGGCGACUUUCUGGUCUGUAACUGACGCUGAUGUGCGAAAGCGUGGGGAUCAAACAGGAUUAGAUACCCUGGUAGUCCACGCCGUAAACGAUGAGUGCUAAGUGUUAGGGGGUUUCCGCCCCUUAGUGCUGCAGCUAACGCAUUAAGCACUCCGCCUGGGGAGUACGACCGCAAGGUUGAAACUCAAAGGAAUUGACGGGGACCCGCACAAGCGGUGGAGCAUGUGGUUUAAUUCGAAGCAACGCGAAGAACCUUACCAAAUCUUGACAUCCUUUGACAACUCUAGAGAUAGAGCCUUCCCCUUCGGGGGACAAAGUGACAGGUGGUGCAUGGUUGUCGUCAGCUCGUGUCGUGAGAUGUUGGGUUAAGUCCCGCAACGAGCGCAACCCUUAAGCUUAGUUGCCAUCAUUAAGUUGGGCACUCUAAGUUGACUGCCGGUGACAAACCGGAGGAAGGUGGGGAUGACGUCAAAUCAUCAUGCCCCUUAUGAUUUGGGCUACACACGUGCUACAAUGGACAAUACAAAGGGCAGCGAAACCGCGAGGUCAAGCAAAUCCCAUAAAGUUGUUCUCAGUUCGGAUUGUAGUCUGCAACUCGACUACAUGAAGCUGGAAUCGCUAGUAAUCGUAGAUCAGCAUGCUANCGGUGAAUACGUUCCCGGGUCU
rnacentral:rRNA from 1 species